AAAGAAUGUUCUUUAGAAGAAGAAAAACAAAGAUUUCAUAUGCCUGAAGGUAAGAAGAUUCCAGAUCUGUCAGACUUACAAUUUGAGGCUAGGUCUUCAGUAGAUGGGGCGUGGUACGAUGUUGAUACAUUUACCUCACACCGGUUUCUUGAAUCAGGAGAACCUGAAGUUCUUGUGAGAUAUGUGGGAUUUGGACCAGAGGA
rnacentral:misc_RNA from 1 species